AGUGAACGCUGGCGGUAGGCCUAACACAUGCAAGUCGAACGGCAGCACAGUAAGAGCUUGCUCUUACGGGUGGCGGGUGGCGGACGGGUGAGGAAUACAUCGGAAUCUACUUUUUCGUGGGGGUUAACGUAGGGGAACUUACUCUAAUACCGCAUAUGCCCUACGGUUGAGAGCAGGGGAUCUUCGCACCUUGCGCGAUUGAAUGCGCCGAUGUCGGAUUAGCUAGUUGGCGGGGUAAAGGCCCACCAAGUCGACGAUCCGUAGCCGGUGUGAGAGGAUGGUCAGCGACACUGGAACUGAGACACGGUCCAGACUCCUACGGGAGGCAGCAGUGGGCAAUGUUGGGCAAUGGGCGGAAGCCUGAUCCAGCCAGACCGCGUGUGUGAAGAAGGCCUUCGGGUUGUAAAGCCCUUUUGUUGGGAAAGAAAAGCAGCAGGUUGAUACCCCGCUGGUGUGACGGUACCCAAAGAAGAAGCACCGGCUAACUACGUG
rnacentral:rRNA from 1 species